AGAUUUCCAUAAAGAUGAUCUUCUGAGUGAAGGCUGGGCUUUAAGACGAAAUGAGAGACAGUGUUGGUGGAAGAAGAGAACUUAAGGCCAGAAGUUGUGUGUGUGUGUGUGUGUGUGUGUGUAUAAUUAUGCCUGAAUAUGUUUUAUUUAUUAUAGUCUAUGUGUGAUUUUGUAUUUGAAAGUAGAUGCUUGAUUCUACCACAAUUAAAAAAAGGAUAUGCUUGGAUUUGUCUGUAGUAUGUGGGUGUGGAGGAGUUCAUUUGAACACGGGCAUUUUUGUGUGUCCAGGACGUAUCAACAGCCUCCUUAGAGGUGUCAUAUGUGCAGGGAAUACUGAAGAGAGUGCAUUAGUCUACAUGUCUCUCUAUAUAUUUUUUCUUUUUGUGUGUGUCUGGUUUUCCUAGAUUUCUCUCUUGCAUGUUUGUGGGUAUGAGAGUCUGUUAGUAUUAAUAUGUGAAUGGGUGUGUGCUAUUUGUCUGGGGAGGAUGAUUUAGGCAAGGAUUUGAAAGUGUGCAUUUAGAAAUUGAGGGCAUCUCUGUGUUAUUAUGAGUGUAUGUGUGUUUGUGUGUGCAUUUUAGAGUGGUUGGUUAUCUGUGUGUAUUUGCAAGGAGAAGGGGAAUUCAGUGUGUUUCUGUGUUUGUGUGUUUGUUUGUGAAUGGUAUGUUUUGCAGAGGAGUGUACUUUUUAUGUUCGAAAGUUAGGCAAUCAUGUAAUUUAUCAUCCAAAUGGGGAUACAUUUGAGAAUGAAAUAUAUAUGUGUGUGAAAGGAUGUCUUUGAAUGUACUUUUAAAAAUGCAUUUAAUUUUGUGUGUGUUAUUGGUGUCAGGAAUUAAGAAAAAGAAGAGAAGUACAGGAGAUAUCAUUAAAUUAUAUAGUUCUCUCUUCGACUGUAGCCUUAUAACAGGGACAUUAAUAGAAUUAACAGGUGGAAUCUAAUUGUCUCCCUUGGAAUCUGGGAUGGCUGUCCUACUUAUUUGACCAACAGAAUUUGUCAGAAGGGACUUUCUGUAACUUCUGAAGCUGUCUCAUAAGAAGCCUUGCAGAUUCUGCUCAUGUCUCUUUCCUCUCUGGGAAACAAGUCGCGACUCAGGGAUAAGCCUGAGACACAUGGAGAGAACAUCCUGAUCAAUCUGGUCUUUGCUGCUACCCUGGUCAACAGCCUGAGCUGGAUACCUGGCUGACAAGUACCACCUUUUUCCUACACAGAUGACAACCCAGCCCAUGAGCACCAGGAAAAUUAAACAAAAAGCCGAAAGAAAAAAGAAAAGAAGAAGUCUGGGAGUGAAGUUAUAUGCUUAAAGGCAUGCAUCUAGCAAAUGGCAAAAAAAAUGGAUGAAGACACAAGACUGAUUGUCACUAAAAACCAUGUGGUAUGUUUGAGCAAGGGUCAUAGCUCAGCUAUCCAGGUGGCUUUGGUUUUGUGGCUCCACUUUCUCAACAUGAAACUCCAAUAGAGGAAGAAGGAAACAUGUGACCUGGAGAGUUGAAGUGGGUAUUGGAGACUGCUGCAUCAGCAGGGAAAUGCUUUAUAUCCUCAAAUGACAUGUGCUUCUCCUGACAGCUCAUUGACCAGAAUUAGCAACAUGGCCCUUCCUAACUAGAAGGGACCAGAAUGGAUAGUCCUUCUAUGUGUCCAGAAGGAGAGAAGGACCAGAUAUGUGUGAUCAUGUCUCCAUUAUGGGAGAAAAGAGAAUUGAAAAAGAAAGAAGAUCCACAUAGUGUCUGAGGAGCUGAGACAAAAGAAAAGUAAGUCAUCUCAUUGAGUCUCAGUUUCUUCAUCUCUCAAAGAAAGAUGAACAUACCCACUGCACUAAGGGUGUCAUGAAGAUUACAUUAGAAAAAUGCACAUGAUAUCUUUAAAUCUCUUUGCCAAUAGCAAGACAUUUUUAAAAAUGAAAUACUGUUUUAUGAUUGGUGGUUGUUUUACUAUGAAACCAUAAAAUGCUAGAUUUCAUGGGGGUAUACAAGACUUUCUCUGGUAUAGCCUUCCCUUUGGUACGAAAUUUUUUUUCCUAUUUUUUUAAAGCAACCCUAUUAGCUGAAGGUACAAGAAUUUUCAUUACAGAAGAUCCUAAAUGAGAGCAAUGAUCAGAAUUAGCUGGAAAGCCACACACAUGCACAACCUGAUUCAGAAGGAUCAGAGAAGGUUAUUUGCCCCCUUGCAGAUCUAGGGGGCCUGGGGCUUUUACAUGAGCCCCAAAGGAUGCACCAGAUAGAAAAUUGGCAGGAUGACUGGAAAUUUUCAAAAUGCACAGGUCAGUUGCAAAUAAUCUGAUGCUGUUUUUGGGAAACUGCAGGCUAAAAAUAGCCAUGGUUUUCCUGGAUGAGGCAUUAGUUUGAUGUUGGCCUUUGUAACCUGUAUGUUUUUGCCAUCUCUGCUCAGUUCCAAUCAUUUUUACUUCCUUUCACUUUGUGUACCUAUAAGAUUCAGAGUUGUAUUAGAAACAUUCAUACUUUCUUUCAUUGAUAUAUUUAUUCACAUAUCAUUUAUUCACUCAUUCAUUUAUCCAUAUAUCCUUUGCUUUCUUUCCAUGACUUCAUCAAGUUUCUUAUUUAGAGUAUAAACAUUUAUUGAUCACUUUGUUUUCUCUGGGCACUGUAUUAGGCACCAGAGAUUCUAAAGGUGGGGGGAAACAAACUAAACAACAACAACAGCAACAACAACAACAAAUCCUCACAAAAUAACAUGUGCAAUGUCGUGGGGGUGCAGACAAGCACUCAUAAUUACAACAAAUAAUGCAGAGUGCAGUAGGAGUUCAGAAUUUCAACUAGCUUGAGAGUAGAGUGGUACAAGAAGGUUUCUUAGAGGAAGUGGCAGUUGAAGUAAUUCCUGAAGGUAUUGUUCAAGUGGGGAGGGUGGGAAGGGCAUCCUAGGUAAAAGGAACAACAUUUAUGUUGUAAUGAAGCCAAGUUGAAAAGAAAGCCACGUGCAGGCAAGCAAAGCAUGUUUGCCAGAUCUGCAGUUAUUCUAGGAGGCUCUUGUUUAAUGUGUGCCUGAUAUUGUGGAUUUAAUCACUACCUCACAAAUUAUUCUUCAAGAUUCAACUUGAUCAUUUAAACACAGACUCUAACAGAGUUUCUGACUCACACUAGGCACUAGAAAAAUCUUAUUUCUGAACUCUUUGCUGUUGCGUUUUCCCCCUUACCAGUCCCACAGUGCCUUGCAGAAAGUAGCCAUUCAAUGAAGUUACCUCCAAUUUAAUCCUAUCCCUCUCCGCCCAGUCCCAGUUUAACUUCCUUUUCCACCUACAAAGACCCUGAGGGCCAGAAAGAGGGCAGCCUCUUCCCAAGGCCUCCUUGUCUUUUUCUGCUUGAGGAAAUAGCUUGUGGUGUCUCCUUGGCUGUCUGUUUCUCCGCCUCUGGGGAAUCUCCUCUCAUGUAAAUCCUGCAAUUAGAGGCUCUCACCCCCACCACCAGAGCUACAUCUGCCUCCCUAGAUAGGCACCCACUUGAUUAGGAAGAGAUAAUCACAGGGGCUGCUUCAGCCUACAGCUUGGUGAAGACAGGAAGAAAUUCUGAUUAAAUUUGUGGUUUCAAGAGAAGGGCUCCCCCUCUCUCAUCACAUACCAGCUUCCUGUCUGCCUAUACAUUUGGACUCAAGGCGCAAAAUUUUGAUUCGUCAUUUAUUUUUUCAAAAACCAUAGAAAUUAGGCAAUAAAUAGGAAUAUACCUCUUUGGUAGAUGAAGAAUGUGAGCUGUGAGAGAUGAAGCAUUUGACUUAGGUCAUAAUGUUGAUUGCCUAGCAGAGACUUUGGAUUCGAUCACUGAUUAGUUUUAUAUCCUCCAUAAGAGAAAGCAAGAGAAAGUAAGCAAAGCAUUUUUUUCCCUUGAGAUGAUCUAAUUUUGACUUCUGUAUGGGUGUGUGUUUGUACUUAUAUAUAUUAUUAAUUCAAAUUAUAUAUUCAACUUAACUUUUAGAAACAUUAGAAAUAUGUGCAGAAUGUAAGAAAUGCAUAAAGUAGAGGAAAGCCUAAGGAAGAAGCCAAAGUCAUUCAUUAUAUCCAGAGAUACUUCCUGGUUGAUAUAUGACGUGUGUAUGUGUCUAUAUAAAAUGUCUACAUAAUCAGAAUUAUAAUACACAUGUGCACAUAUAGUUAUUUUCUAACUACAUUUUGUAUUGUAAACAUUUCCCCAGGUCAUUAAAUAUUCUUCUAAAACACAAUUUGGUUUGACUCCUUUAAUGUUUUGAUCUAUAUCCUGGAUUGUCUCCUUUCUGUUCAAUUCAAGGGAGAAAAAAGCAAAUAAAAAAAUAAUGGAUUAAGAGGAAGAAGCUCUGUGUUCUAGCCCUAGUUCUGCCACUUUCUCCCUUGAGUCUCUGUUUGUCCAUCUGUGAAAUGGGAUAAUAGUUAUCCUUUUACCAGUCACACAAUCUUAUUUGCAGACUCAGGUAAAAUCACAGCGAUGGGUUUGCCCAGGAACGUGGGAUUGCCUGGUGCUGUCUUUAUUAUGUUGCUGAGGAUUCUUAUUGCUUUUUUCAUCAGCCCAAACACAAGAGCCUCCCAGGAGGUGGGUUUUUUCCUUUUUCUUGGCAGUGCUCACAUGGGCAACACAGUUCAUCGGAAGCACCUCUGCUCCAAUCACCCUUCUGCAUUGUCUGUCUUGAUGAAAAAUGACCUGUUAUUAUUUCUUACCUUUGGGUUUGGGAGGCCCCAAAGAAAUCAGUAGCCACAUAAAAUCGCUGCUAUUAUUGUAACAGUAUUUUCAUUGAUGGAUUUAAGUGUGAGGUGUUUGCUAUCGAUUGUUAGCAUCUGUCCUGGAGAGGCUGUGCUGCGGGGAGGCAGUGAUAAUGGUGGGAACGGGCACCUCCAGGAGCUGUGGCAUGCUGAGUGGUUUUCCUGAAGCUGGGAAAAGUGUGUUUGCACUCCAGGGCGUCUUGCUUUGUAGGAGAAAUGUACACCUACAAAUGUGAUUUCAAACAUGUAACCCUUUAGAACAGAUACUGCCUUCUUCCUGAAUUUCUUUCUAAUUUGAGAGAUUUGACAUUUUCAUCCCCAAUUUGAUAUUCGGCAGGCUCCUAAUUCUUUAUGUUUUAAUAUUUUUGGUCCUUUAUAGGAAUCAGCACUUAAAGGCAAAAAGUGAACAAAUAAUGAAGCUUCCGUUAUGUCUUAAAUGAGUCCUGUAAUGUAAUAAAAUGCAUUUUAAUGUUUCCCCUUCCUUCCUUUCUUCCUGUCUUUUGUAUUUUCUCUCUAGCUUCCAUGUUUGAAUUGUUUCUUCCCACUCUUUCUGCUUUCAGAAAAUAAAAACAAAAACUUAGUGUCUACUGCAUUGAAAACAAGGUGUUAAGCAUUGUGAGAAAUCAAAUCUUGAUGAUGACAUAAUCUUUGCCUUCAGAGAAACCCACUAAUGUACAAUUUAUGGACACAAUUUAUGAGAACAAUAUAUGUUCUCAUAAAUUAAACAGCAGAACAAAUUGGAAAGAUGUCAGGGAAAGUAGUGAGUAACAGAGUGACAGAAUCUUGAUAUGUUACAACUUAGAGAGACCCUAGAAUAUCAUGAGAUGACUCCAUCAUCACCUUUAUGGAGAAACUCGAGCCCAGGGAAGUAAAGAGUUUAGUCCAAGGUCUCCUUAUGACCUAACCUGUGCUUUUGAUUUAUAUUCCUGAUGGUUUUGCACCUGAAAGGCAGAUUUAAACCUUGCUACUUACUGGCUAUGAAUGUACCUAACCUCUCUGAAGCUCAGUUUUUUAAUCCAGAAAACAAGCCUUUGCAGGAUGCUUGUGACAGUGGAAUCAUGUAUGCAGUUCACCUGGCCUGGUAGUGUUUGGUACACACCAUUUCAUGCUACCCCUAAGCUGCAUUCUCCUUUGGAGAGCCACAGGCACUAGCGUAAAUCAUAUGCUUUCCAUAAGCAAGCAUACGCCCUCCCUCCUGUGAACCCAGACGGAUGGAGAUACACUUUGGGGAUGUUGUCUGGGUAUUUGUCUCAAAUGCUAAUGAUAGCUCCCUUUGGCAGAAAAACAAACUCAGGCCAGUGGGGUUCUUAGAGUAUUAGUCCUAGGAGCCAAAGAAUCGAUCCAUCAACAGGACCUGCUGAGCAGGCACCUCAUACGCAGAGCAGCUCAGGCACAGAUGUCCGAAGCACUGCCCUCUCACAGGGAGCCCUGGAACCAUAACUUCCAGAACUCCCUUCUCCAAUCUAGAACUCGCCGCAGAGAUUUCCAAUACUCACCUCCUCCCCACUUCUAGUUCCCACCAGGUAUAAAUUUUAAAAUCCUAUACCUCAGAAAGAAAAAAAAAAAGCCAAAUAUUACACAAAACUGUGGAAGAAAUCUAACUUUCUAGAACCCUGGAAAAUGCUUUAUUUUUACUUGUAAGAACUUUCUGUGCAAAGAGCUAACCACCCUGCCUAUUCAGUUAAGGCUAAUCACCUGCUUGUUAAAUUAUCUUAGGACAAUGAGAGGAACAUGUGGCAAGUCUCUCUGUGAAAAAACAAAAACAAAAAAAAUUCCACUGAUGAGUGGGUGAGGUUGUGCAACAGAAGCUGAGUCAGUGACACAGAUCAAGAUGCAGGAACCAGGAAUUCAAGAUGCAGGGAACCAGUCUAUUCAAGAAUAGACUGAGACACAGAUGACAGCAGAGAGAACGAAGUCUAAAACUGAAACUGAAAGAGGAAAGAGGUGAUGAGAAAGAUGUUGAGACGAGGGUGUGGGGGAAAAGAUACAAGUGGCACAGAAAGACGGUGAGAAAACACAGCCAGAGUAUUAGAUCACAUAAGAGGAAAACAUAAUGAGAGGCGGAAGAACUAGCACAGACAACCAACACAGAGCCUGCAACCAGGGAAACCUGUGUUUCUUGCAGUUAGCAGCCAGCAGCCUGCAGUCAGCAGCAGGGGGCAUCAGAACUCCACGGAUAGUAAAAGAUGCCAGGGAGCCAGUAUAAGGAGAGAGGAAGUGAGAAAGAAAUAAAGAGAGAAAGAAAAGGGAUAAGAAACCUUCCUCUUAACUUUGAGAUUAGAAGGAAGAGAGAGCCGCGCUAUUCCUCGGGGUCCUGCAUUUAGUGGUAAGCCAAUUCCCCCAGACAUCUUCCUGCUGACAGUGAAGGUAUGUAAGUGGCUGUAGAAAGUAACACUGAAGGCUUUCUCAAAGAGACUGAGUCCAAGGGCGAUGGCCUGGGCUUAAGCCAGCUGACUAACACUUAGGCAUUCUGUUAGGCAGAACUCAGGUGCAAAUAGCAUAUCUCCCUGAAUGUAGUUUAUCCAAGCAUUUUCCUCUACUUCACCGCCUCCCAAAAAAGAAUUAUUAGGAGUAUACUAGGAUAUUGCAUAGAUAAGGAAGUGAUGGAAAAGUAAGCCUUGAGGAAAAAAGACCAAAGGAUUUAUGUUAAAAGACUUUUGUUUUUGUUUUUGUCCAUUUCCCUCAUCCAUGCUCUGCCAGUCUUAUUCUCCUAGCCCUCUCUAUGCAGCAAUCAUUUCAUUUGGUGUCACUUCCUCAAUCAUUUACCAGAGAUCAAGAACUCACUUUCAAUUUCAGUUUAAAACCAAAAUCCAGAUGAGGUUUCUGAUUGGCUCAGCUUGGACCAUGUGCUCACACCUUGGGUCAAAGUCACCGGAAGAGUGACAUAGUCUGAUUGGCCCAGUACUCUGAAGCCACACCCACACUUGUGCAGGCUUGGAGAUUGGGGAGCAGCACACCUGAGGGUGUAAGGAUCUGUUGUUGACUGAAGGAGAUAUUAGAAUCAUGAUCCCUGAAGCCACACCAAUUUAGGGCUACUAAGUUCAUCUUGAAUAAAUGAGUUGCCUGAGUUGCUCUGAGCUUGUUUUUCUCUUCUAUCGAAAGGCAUUACUUACACCUGCUUUGUCCAC
rnacentral:lncRNA from 1 species